UGGUUCUUAUCAUGAGGGAAGGGACAAAAGCCAGUUCAGUGUAGCUUUGAGAUACGCGUUCGACUUGGAGCAGGUCCUGCAGUCUUGCUGACCAAGGGGAUGCAAGCGAUCACUUAAAUGGUUUGCUUUGGGUGGGGUGGACCUAGAUGGGUGCUCGGGCCACUGAAGGUGGCAUGCUGAAGCCGGCUGUUCAAAAAUCUGCUCUGUGAGGGUGUGUGUAUGGGUUUUGGUCUGGUAAAGGACAAAUACAAGUUGCCCGUUUUCAUCCUAGUAGGGAGUAACUGCAUAGGCAGAGUGCUGGAUCGUGGUAAUUUUGCAGAGCAAAUACACAGCAAAGAGGCUUUUUCUGUCUCUCCAUGGCCAUGAUGUUAUGGUUAUGCCAAAUGAUGCUGUCGAUGGGAAUUUCCAAGAGGAGAGUUUAAUGUGAGGUGAUGGACAGGUGAUGGACACUACCAGACUCAGCACCUUCCCUGGUUGGAUGCAUCCUGCAGAAUGAAGGGAUCCCCCUGCCCUCCUGUCUAUCCCAGGCAUUAUUACACUCGGCGGUUUAUCCUCAGCCCUAGGAAGGAUGGGGGUGCGUUGCUGUAGCUCUGAUGGCAUGUGUAUGCACCUAUGCAUAGCUGGAGAUGGUGGGUACCUGAGGAGACAGGGAGCAGGGGAGGACUUUGCCCUGAUUGCUUCGUGGGAAGCUCUCGCGUUGUAGCUCUAGGCUUUAUCGAACCUUUGCAAAUGGGCUGGAUGCAUCUAUAGCCACGUCUUAGUCCAGGUCUCCUUGCACUUGUGUUGUCUUCUCCUGGUAUGUCCUGGAUGGCUUUGGAGGAGUUACUCUUUGUCUUUGCUGCUGUGAUCAGGAGCGUGUGGCCUGGAGAAGCUGCCGUGGUGGGUAACAUCAGCUGAGCCAGUCUCAUCCCAGCACGUGGUUACAAAACGAGGCAGAAGCGCAGGGAGAGGUGAGUUGGGGUAAGUUGGGAUUUGCAGGACAGGGUUUGCUCCCAUUCAGGGUUUCUUCUGGGAGCCUUCCUCCUUGGCACGCCUGAGCUUGCACCCCUUUGCUCCCCCAGUGCUUCAGGGCCCGAAGCGGGGGAGCUCGGGGAGCUCCUUGCUCGCUGCAGGGAGGGUUUGGGCAGAGCCCCCGGCUGGCGAGUGCAGAUCUGGGCGCAGAGGCACCAGGAGAGGCCUAGCAGAGCUUUGCCUCGGCCGUGCCUGGUCCUCCCGGCAAGGCAAGUGGCACGGCACCGCACGGCGUCCGGCGUCCCUCGUCCCUCUCUGCUGGCUGCCUGCCACGCUGAAGGUACCGCGCAGAAACAACCAGCAUCGCUGUGGGUAAAACCAGCUUCUGUCUCUAUAGCAACAGUGAGGGAUGGCGGUACCCACAGUGGGGCUGCCUGGCCUGUGUCCUGUGUCCCGAUCCGUCCCUGUCACCCAGGAAGCAGGACAGGCUGUGGCUGGGUUAGCUCUUACCUCCCGGGGGGAGGCAGGGGACCCCCAGCCUGGCCGCCCUAGGGACACAGCUGCGUGGGUGGGGGCACGUGGGAGCGGUGACAGGACAACCCGGCUCUUCCACCGACAAGGUACAAUCUGCAGGGAUUGUCCUUAGCUUUCAGUCUGAGUAACACCGCCCCAUCCAUCCCGCUGUGGGCUGUGCCAGGGCGCCGGCAGGCAGCGUGGGGAGAGACUCAGCCCCCCGUGCUGCACUCACAGACACCCAGGGCCGGAUCCUGGGUGCUUUGCCCCAGAGGCAAGGAGGGCACAGCAGCACGAGGUAAAGGACAAUCUCCCUGGGCUUUGGACUUUAGUGUGGAUGCCAUCUGCUUUCCAGCCCUCAGUUCCUGCCUGCGAGGAGGACCAUGGAUGCAGCAUGCCUGAGCAAGUCCUGCAGCCUGAGGAGGGUUUUCUCCCCGCUCAGAGGGUGUUAGAGGGAUGGGGCUGGGUGUCAGCCCUGGCAGCGCUGCCAGACCGCAGGCUCCUGUGUAAUGUGCUGGAGGCAUCGCUGGGUUGUCCUCUCCACUGGCCUCACCUUUACCAGUGGCUGUAAGAAACACCGGUUAAAAGUUUAAUAUAUUGGGCAAAGCCUGAAGAAAUGGGAAGGUUCCUCCCUUUCACACGCACACUGUGGAGGGUGCUGGCAGAAUGGGUGAUGCUGCAGGUGGAAGAUGCAUGAACACAGCCGACGCUGUUUAUGUGUGUUUGGCCACCUGAAAUAAAGAUGUGGCCAGUUCUUGCCUCGGCACAGAGGGCUGCAGGCCUGGGCACGGACACGUUGGCUGCAAGAAACUGCCCUGUCCUUGCAGAGUCCCCAUUCCCGUGAUACACCCUCACUCCCGGGACCCUCUCUGACUUUCUCACUUCUCCCAGGACCAGCAGCCUUGUGCAAGACCGUGGGCACUGGAAAGUCAGACCUGGUGAGAUUAAUUAAAAUAAGAGCAAUGGGAAGAGAAGCUGAGAGCUACAGUGAUGGAUGUUUGCAAAACACUGGCCCAGAGACCGAAGUGCUGUGGGCGUUUGGUGAUGUUUGCUUCCAGCCAAGGAGCUGUGCAAUGGUUAAAUACGCUUGAUGCAGCCGUGCUUAAGGAAUCAGCCUCUGCCAUCUGGGUGCAGGUCCACUUCGAGGAGCUGUAAUGCACCCAGUGCUGAUGCCUUCUCCCUGCUGGGAUUUGCACCUUGGAGCUGCCAGUACUGACGAUAGACAUCAUUUCUGCACCUGCAAACAAGCAGACAAACCACAGGCCGGAAGAUAAAGUAACAAGCAGUCAUCCAAAGGAAAGGCAUGUUUUUCAUUAGGCUGUAAAUGAUCCGGCCCCCCCCGCCCCGCCCGCAACAUGGCUUGUUUCCCCUCUCCCAUCCCAAAGAGGAAGGUGACACUUGGGUUAAGAAAGGCUGGGGAUCGUCAGAAACUCCUUCCCAUUCUUGCUCCUUGGUGAUCAGUGGGAGACCGGUGCUGGUUUCCAGGGACCCCAUGCACAACCCAGAACAGCAGUGCCCCAGCUUUGGGCAGAAAAGUUCCCUCCUGCAGACUCCUCAGCCCAGAAACAUUGAAAAUGUGCUGAAGGGGCAGCAGGGACUCUAAACCAAACACCUCCUUUUGCAAGCUCCUCGGAGCCAGGGCAGAGCAGGAGACACGAGCAAGAGAGGGAAAGCAACAGGUUUUUGAGCACCUGCCUCUGAUCAUGACCUUCCCUGGGAGAGCACAACCGUCUCGGCAGCUCUCCCCUCCGCCAUACGGGAAGAUGCCUCCCACCCUGGGAGGAAGGCACAGCUGGACUCCAACCAUCAAUCAUGUCCCGCCGGGAAGGGCUUGCACGGGUUGUGGGAUUCCUGGUGGCGUUACUUUUUUUCAAAGCGUCCUGCAAUAACAGCAACCGUUGCUCAGCUUCCUUUCCAGAUAACCUUUUUCCUGCUGCCCAACAUGCUUAUCUGCUGCAGACAGACUGGCAAGAUGAACCGGAAAGCUGAUACCUUAUCUCUCCCUCUCAAGGAGCUUAUUUAAGUGCUGGAAUGUGUUGCGACGACGGUAAAUGAUUGUUAAAUCCAAGUGAGGAACAUGGACCUAAGGACAGGUCCCGCUGGGAGGGAGCACCUAGUCACAAAGGAGAUUCGUGGGACUACAGCCAUUCUGGGUUUUUUCGUCUUUUAUCUGCCAAAAGAUGCAUCACCUAAAAUGUAAAGUGUUUGUUUAAAACCAAAAGGCAUUGACUGGGUUUCUCGCUAAUCUGUGGGUUAAUGCUGCAGGCUGCUCCCAGCUCCGUGAGGUUCACCAUGUCCCUUCGAUAGGGCUUUAUCUGUGUCUCAGUUUACUCACUGCAGGAAAUAUGGUGCCGUGGGUUGGCCUUGCAAGAGGUGCAGCGAGGGUUAACAGUCAGCAUGUGAUAUCUCAUGGCCUGUAUUCCUUGUUCACCCUUUAAUCUGGACUCGGUGCGGGAAGCAGUAAGAUGCUAACACAUCCAUAAAGGAUUGUGAGGGUGAAGCAGAGGAGCCACAGGUGCCUCGGAGACCCUUGAGGUACGUGUGGGACGUGGGGGGAGGAACAGCGCAUUCAGCAAAACUGCAGUGAUGAUGCAAUCUGGGUUUGGGCUAUUCCAGGGGGAGCACACAAGCUGCAGGCAGCCUUCUGGGGGUCCCUGUGAACUGAGGGGUCCCUGAGCACUGGAGGUCACUGCCAGCCCUGGGGCACACAGAAUUGCCCAGGUCUCCUCCUGCCAGGGGUGAGCUGUGGCACACCCACAUCCCCACCACAUCAUACAAACAACCCCGGCCCCAGGGGGCUCAGCAAAGCUGCAAGGUGAUUUGGUAUGAGGAUGUGUUUACCAGGGCUGAUGCUCAUUAGCCAGGUUCGUUAGCACUCCCUGGGCAGGUUUAAAAUAGGAAAGUGGCAGCUGCCCUCCAGGCCUAGGGCAGCCCUGGUUACAGCUGGAGUGCUGAUUCCUUCCCAUUCUCUCUUCCUUCCCUCCUGCUCUGGUUCUUCUCUGCUUGCAGACCCCCACAUGCUGCAGCCGUCCCUGCUGGGAACCCACUCUGCAGCACCCCAAUGAAGAGGUCAAGGCUUUGCUCUCACUGUUGUGCAUCUCCCAGCAUCAAGGCUUUGCUCUUGCUGUUGUACAUCUCCCAGCACUAGGAGGGGUGCCCCAAACCCCUCCCACCUCCCCAUCUCCCCCCAGGAAGGCUGUGUCCUCUCCAGCCCUGCAGC